rnacentral:rRNA from 1 species
AGGAUAAACGCUGGCGGCGUGCCUAACACAUGCAAGUCGAACGCGCUUGCUAUCCGCGAGGACGGUGAGCGAGUGGCGGACGGGUGAGGAACACGUGGGUGACCUACCUUUCAGUGAGGGAUACCGGCGAGAAGUUGCCGACAAGACCGCAUACGCUUCUCUUUUCAAGGGGAGAAGGAAAGCUUUUCGCAAGAGAGGCGCUGGGAGAUGGGCCUGCGGCCGAUUAGCUAGCUGGUGGGGUAAUGGCCUACCAGGGCGACGAUCGGUAGCUGGUCUGAGAGGACGAUCAGCCACACUGGGAUUGAGAACGGCCCAGACUCCUACGGGGGGCAGCAGUGAGGAAUUUUCGGCAAUGGGGGCAACCCUGACCGAGCAACGCCGCGUGCAGGACGACGGCCUUCGGGUUGUAAACUGCUUUUCUCUGGGACGAGCAAGGACGGUACCAGAGGAAGAACGCCCGGCUAACUACGCGCCAGCAGCCGCGGU